rnacentral:rRNA from 1 species
AUUGAACGCUGGCGGCAUGCCUUACACAUGCAAGUCGAACGGCAGCACGGGAGCAAUCCUGGUGGCGAGUGGCGAACGGGUGAGUAAAGUAUCGGAACGUGCCCAGUCGUGGGGGAUAACGUAGCGAAAGUUACGCUAAUACCGCAUACGAUCUAUGGAUGAAAGCGGGGGAUCGCAAGACCUCGCGCAAUUGGAGCGGCCGAUAUCAGAUUAGGUAGUUGGUGGGGUAAAGGCUCACCAAGCCGACGAUCUGUAGCUGGUCUGAGAGGACGACCAGCCACACUGGGACUGAGACACGGCCCAGACUCCUACGGGAGGCAGCAGUGGGGAAUUUUGGACAAUGGGCGAAAGCCUGAUCCAGCCAUGCCGCGUGCAGGAUGAAGGCCUUCGGGUUGUAAACUGCUUUUGUACAGAACGAAAAGGUUUGGCCUAAUAAGCUGAGCUCAUGACGGUACCGUAAGAAUAAGCACCGGCUAACUACGUGCCAGCAGCCGCCGCCG